ensembl:lncRNA
GACAGAUGGACGCAAGAUAAGGGGGGAUUUCAAAGGGGUGGAGAAGUACAUCGACACAUUGUGGGUUAACCCCAUUAAUGGCCCUGAUUCACGCUCCCGUGCACGCCGCGGUGGGGCAGCAUCAGCUGAGUCGCCUGUGGGGUCAUUUGCAUGCUACCAACUCUCUCCGGAGGUCACAGGGAGCCCGCGAGUGUCCAAUUAAAUCCCUCGAUAGUACAGCAGAGACUGAUGAAGAGGAGAGAAAGAGAAAAGAUGAGAAGGACGGGUUUGAAGAAACCUCCUCGUGUUUCUCCCACAAUAUGUGCAUAAUGACUUCCGCUGACAAUUAUCUUUGAUCCAAGCAACAACCCCCAUCCUCCCUUCCAUUUCUGCAUCCUCUCCUCUCUUACCCCCACCUCACUUCAUCCACUCUUCACCACCCUCUCUCGAUCCACCAUCUUUUAAUUUUCCUUGAAGAUGCCGUGCCUCAGUCGUCUCUUUUGACAUUAUUUCUGAAACUGUCACUCUCUCUCUCUCUCUCUCUCUCUCUCUCUCUCUCUCUCUGUCUCUCUCUCUCUCUCUCUCUCUCACGCACACACACACACACACAAACACACACACACACACACGAGUGGAUUAAUGAGGCUCACUCAGGGUCAGUGACCUCACUGGGACAUAGAUGACAAGAAGGGGGUUGUGAAAGCAUGAGCAGCAGAUAAAAGGGGAGUCGGGGGGGGGGGGGGGGGGGUUCUCUCUUAAAAAAAACAACUUCUCCCUCUUUAUUUGUCAUCUUCCCCCUGUUCCUUGUCAGCAGAUAGAGAGCCACGUAUACAUGCGGGUGAGAGAGGGUAGUCGCAGAGACAGAAAAGAUGUUUAAGUGCUGAUGGCAGCCCCCGGUUGCUGCUGGGACCGAGGUGUCAGCUCUUAUUGUGCCACAGCAUGUAUCUGACAGGCAAAUGAUAGAGGAAGAGCCGUGGAGGAAGAGGGGGGGGGGGGGGGGGGCGGCAGCGGUCUCGUGUCUGUGAGGGUUUUGGAGACGCGACAAGAGCCUGAAGAAGGAAAAGUGCGUCUGUGUGACGGCUGGUGUUACACUGACUGUGUCUCUUCCUCUGCUCUGCAUUGUUGUCUUUUCGUCCCCCCUCCCUCGCCGUCACCGUGCGCUGAUAGAUUGAGUUAUACCGCUCCCUCAGUGACAUGCAUUCCCUCAGGUUUCCCCAGCGAUGAGGUCAGAGGUGACUGCUCGUUAUUGGCUGUUGUCUGUAAUCAUCCCAGAUCGAGCUGUGUGCUUUGUUGCCCCCCCCCCGACUUCCAUCGUCCUGCUCUGUGCAGCGGAGCGUGACCCCGAGGAGCCAAAGGGCCUCCACUGUCUUGACCUCGAGGUCAGAAGUGUUUACAGAGUCCUGUGUGUGCUUGGGCAUGUGUGUUAAAAAACAACUUUGUGUAGCACACACACACACACACACACACGCACACACACACGCACACACACACACUCACACAUUUUACUAUUUCCUAAUGCUCUUUAUCUCUUCUCUCCAUUCUGUCCCUAUUGUCACCUUGUGGUUAGCCGUUGUUACACAACUCCCUCCACAGCUGUUGAUCAUCCUGGCUCUGCAUUAGCGUCUCUGACCACGCCACUGAGUGCACGUGCACGUUUCGUGUGCGCUUUGUGGUUUUUGCCCACCAAACGUGCUGAGAACAAUAUGUUCUACAGCACUCUCUCUCCAUUGAUUCAGUGGUGAUUGACGGAGUAGGAUAUAACUCUGCAGGACGCUCGCAAUCAUUCUCAUCUGGAGUGCAUUUCAUCACAACACUUGGAGAAAAGGUGGAAAGGUCAAAGGAAAUAAAUGGGAGAAGUGAUAACGAAACAGAGGGGAUAAAGCCAACAGAUCUAGAAACAUGCAAAAUGUCGCGCAUAAUGGUGUCAAAACAUGAGAGAGGGGAAUUGACAGCUUCUGUUUGUCUGACCUGGACACACACAUAAACACACAUACAAAAAGCUGCAAAAGAGCCCCCCAAAUGGCAUUGCCUUUGCUUUGUAACACAAGCGAGCGACACGCUGCAGACCCACCUCAAACUGCAGCUCCUGGUGCGAUGCGGCUCGGUUUGAUGUUUGUGUGGGCAGUGGCGGUGAUAGAAUUGGGUCUCGGUGACAGUAGAUGGGACGUCAGCUUGCCAUGGGGGACGGUAAUUGAUACAGAGCCUGACUAACGUGAUGUGUCAGACAUAUGGGGCCUGUCUAAUCAAUGGGAUCAUGUGAUCAGAUUUGUGCCUAUGUGGCAGCGUGAGGAUGUAUGAUACAGUUCAGUUAGUUGCAUCACAGCAUAGACCAGAAAGAAGAGGGAUACAUAAAAGCACACACACACACACACACACACACACGCACACACACACACACGCACACACACACACACACACACAGGCACACACACUC